AGAGAGAGAGAGAGAGAGAGAUGGAGUUUCCAGUAAUUAACCUUGAGAAGCUUAAUGGUGAGGAGAGAGCUGCCACUAUGGCUAAGAUCAAAGAUGCCUGUGAGAAUUGGGGAUUCUUUGAGUUGCUGGACCAUGGAAUAGAGCCAGAGUUCUUGGACACAGUGGAGAGAAUGACAAAAGGUCAUUACAGGAAAUGCAUGGAGCAGAGAUUCAAGGAAAUGGUGGCCGGCAAAGGUCUUGAGAAUGUCCAAACUGAGAUCAAAGAUUUGGACUGGGAAAGCACCUUCUACCUCCGCCAUCUCCCUGAGUCAAACAUUGCUCAAGUUCCUGAUCUCGAUGAUGAAUACAGGUUAAAAAAAAUUAAUUAAUCAUCUUCAUGUGGCUAUUAUUUUGCUUAAGAAAUGGGUCAUCAUCAUUAUUAUUGUUCAUUUAACUAUAUGUUCUUUCUUUGAAAAUUAUAUAUAUAAAUAUAUAGUUGAUGGUGAAUAGUUUUAUUUAGUUACCCAAAUAAAUUAUAUAAAAAUGAUAUGCAGGGAGGUGAUGAAGGAGUUUGCAGCGAAGUUGGAGAAGCUUGCAGAGGAGCUUCUGGACCUGUUAUGUGAAAAUCUUGGACUAGAGAAAGGGUAUCUCAAGAAGGCCUUCUAUGGGUCAAGGGGUCCAACCUUUGGGACCAAGGUGAGCAACUACCCACCAUGCCCCAAGCCAGACCUCAUCAAGGGACUCAGAGCCCACACAGACGCUGGUGGUAUUAUCUUGCUGUUUCAGGAUGACAAGGUCAGUGGCCUUCAACUCCUUAAAGAUGGCCAGUGGAUUGAUGUGCCCCCUAUGCGCCACUCCAUUGUUAUUAACCUUGGAGACCAGCUUGAGGUAAUUACCAAUGGCAAGUACAAGAGUGUUGAGCACAGAGUUGUGGCUCAAACAGAUGGUACCAGGAUGUCAAUAGCUUCAUUCUAUAACCCUGGAAGUGAUGCACUCAUCUACCCAGCACCAGCUCUGGUGGAGAAAGAAGCAGAGCAGAAGAAGCUGGUGUACCCAAAAUUUGUUUUUGAAGACUACAUGAAGCUUUAUGCUGGGUUGAAAUUCCAGGCCAAGGAACCAAGAUUUGAAGCCAUGAAGGCUGUGGAAAGUAACGUCAAUUUGGGUCCUAUUGCAACAGCUUAAUUUAUUAUAGAAUAUUUUUAAUGGAAUCUAAAGAGAGGAUUGAGAGUGUUGUUUAAUAUUAUUAAAACGAUAAAAAAAAAAAAAAGAAAAAGAGAUUCGUGUUACAAGUAUCAUAUCUGAAUCAACCUGAAACUAAAGCUCUACUGAAAAAAGCAGAAGAAGAAUAGUUUGGCUUUGACCAUCGAAGGAGUAGUUUGCAAUACCUUGCAGAGAAGGCAAUUCCAUUGCUGUUCUCAGCCGAAUAGAUCAUGAAAAUAGAACUGAAAAAUUAAAAACUUUUUAUAGCUGAUAUUGCCAAAGAAGAGACAUGGAUUUAUCUGACAACAUUGUCAAUACUUGUCCUUACAGUUAGAAAACUAGUGCUGUUUCCCAAUGUUUUGAGUUUCCUUUUUGAUAAUGGUGGAUUAUUUAGAAAUUUCUAGUAUAGUUUUUAAGACUAUUAUUUAAGGUUAUAUAAGUAUUUCAUUGCUUCCCUUCUCAUUCUGUUCUCUCUCAUGGCCAAUUAAUCAGUACGCAAUAUGAGUUUUAUUACUAAGAAAGUUCUCUGAGCAACCGAAAACUAGAAAUUCUAUGAGAGAGGAGAUGUCAAUUUGAAGAUACUAAUAGAGAUUAGAUACAUGGAAUUGUCUUCUGGAUCAUAAUUGUUAUUCAAUUCCAAGUGCCAUAUUUCAAAAUGGCCAUCAUUUUACUGGCCUUCCUAGUAAGGGUAAGAAAAUGGCUACCUUAAUCACUACUUGAUGCUUCAUCUUAGAAUUCAGUAAAACUCAGGUCCCAGUGCUUCCACCUUCUGGAUUUGGAAAAAUGAUAUAUUGUUAAUGCAUUACAUGCAUUACAUAAAUCAUGAUUCCCUCUUUUUGGCUAUAUUCAAGAUUCACCUUACAUCCUACUUUUCUAUGUUCCCGUUAUUUACUGUCGAAUACUAAAUCAUGUCGCAAGCAUGUCCCUAAUCUAAACAUUACUUAGUCAAGCAUAGUCCUAAUCUAGGGGGUCACUUAGUUAUCCUUUAUAUCAAUAUUAGGCAACCUUCCAUGUCCAAUGCUUAAUAGCUGGUCCCCCAUUGGUUUAUUCCAAUAGUUUUAGACAAUAUGAUAUGAAUCCUCUAGCCUCUAAUUGAGUAGUUGGAAGACAAAACCAUGUGAUGCCUUCAUGAGCUAAGACCAUUAGUAGGCACAUGCAAAUAAUUCUCAGCUAGAGACUCAUUCUGUAGGAUACCCACAGGAAUCAAUUCUUCUAUAUAUACCAACAAACUGAUCUUGAGCAACUCAAGCAUUCACAUUCUCUGGUGAUAGUUUUUCCAUAAGGAGCAAAAUUCUUCUAAGCUAUUUGUCUUUUAUUCUCCUCUCAACCGAGAUACAUCAAGAAACAUACAAUGGGAGUCAAUUUGCCUGGUGUUCUUGCUAAGCAAAUCUUCCGCCAGUCUUUAUUGCCUGCAAGAAAAGCAUCUCCAACUUCAUUAGAUGUCCCAAAAGGAUUCAUAGCAGUUUACGUUGGGAAGGCCCAAAAGAAGAGAUUUCUGUUACCUGUAUCCUACUUGGAUCAGUCUUCAUUUCAAGAUUUGCUCAGGCUGGCUGAAGAGGAGUUUGGUUUCAAUCAUCCAAUGGGUGGUUUGACAAUUCCCUGCAGAUUGGAUACUUGCAAUGCUGUCAUUUUAUACUUGAAUAGAUCAUAAGAGGAAAAACUUGAAUAAUUUAUGGCUGGAAUUGCCAAAUUCAAUUGUAAAUAUGUUUUUUUACGGGAUUAAACAAUUUUACCCAAAUAAGAAAAUUUAUUAGUUAUAAAUUGUUGCUUUCUUCUUGCACACUCAGUGUUUUAUGGUUUUCAUAGUUCCUUCUCUUUUGUCAAACCUAUUUCUUGUUUGUUAAUUGAAUUGGAUUUUCAC
rnacentral:misc_RNA from 1 species